GAACAAAUACGACAAAUAAUACUCUGCUCAAAAUAAUUUUUUAUUAGCAAUAGUUUAUCGUCGCGUACAGAUAUUAAUUAAAUUACUCUAUAUUACAGUCUUCCUCCCAACUUCUCUCCUAAAACAGUGACACACCCAUCAACAGUAUCAGCUUUCUAUUUGAUUAUUUGUUUAUUUUAAUAAUGUGAAAAGGGCAAUAAAAUAUAGUUAUAAAAGAAUAAAAAAACUAUUGGAUAUCGAGACGA